UACGUAGGGGGCAAGCGUUGUCCGGAAUCAUUGGGCGUAAAGCGCGUGUAGGCGGCUUGGUAAGUCUGCUCUGAAAGCCCGGGGCUCAACCCCGGGAGGCGGGUGGAUACUGUCAAGCUCGAGUCCGGAAGAGGAGUGUGGAAUUCCUGGUGUAGCGGUGAAAUGCGUAGAUAUGCGGAGGAACACCGAUGGCGAAGGCAAUCCCCUGGGCCUGCACUGACGCUCAUGCACGAAAGCGUGGGGAGCAAACAGG
rnacentral:rRNA from 1 species